GACGUAGGGCGCGAGCGUUGUCCGGAUUUAUUGGGCGUAAAGAGCUCGUAGGCGGCUUGUCGCGUCGACUGUGAAAACCCGCGGCUCAACCGUGUGGCUUGCAGUUGAUACGGGCAGGCUAGAGUUCGGUAGGGGAGACUGGAAUUCCUGGUGUAGCGGUGAAAUGCGCAGACAUCAGGAGGAACACCGGUGGCGAAGGCGGGUCUCUGGGCCGAUACUGACGCUGAGGAGCGAAAGCGUGGGGAGCGAACAGG
rnacentral:rRNA from 1 species